rnacentral:lncRNA from 1 species
AAAUGAAGCAAUUUUACACUUUGUUAGAAACAUAAUCCUGCACAAUUUAUAGAUCCCACAGCCACAACGCUUUAAUUAACUUUUAUCUUUAAAAGGUUUCAUUUUAUUAAGCAAAGGAAUUUAGACCUAAAUCACUGUCAUACAUUGUCCAUUUGCCUUGUUAACAGGAGUCACCAUGAAGCUGCUGGUGUUGAUGAUGUGUCUGCUGGUCUCUGCCUUGGCUGCACCAGUGAGUUAGUUAACAUUCAAACACUGUUGUUUUGAGGACAUGACGUAAACCUGAGCCUUUUUUUUGCAUGUGCAGGCUCCACAGAGUGAAAGCAACGAGCAGGUUGCAGCUCAUGCAGCUCAUGCUAACGAGGCCCUGAGGUGGAUGGAGAUGUACAGGCUCUACCAGCAGCAGGUAUUGAAGGGUACACUUCAAAAUAAGAUGCAUCUGCUUGUCAUUUAGUUUGGUAUUAAAUUAAAUAUCUGGCUGAUUUUUUUCAGAAACUAGUUAGCAACCCCUUCCUUCCUGCGUCUCAUGCACCUGCUGAUCCAGCCGAGGCAGCGGUGGUGAGCACGUCGUGUAUCAGGUGCUGCAACAUUUCGUCUGAUGUCUGUUUGUCGUUCGACUAAAGCGUCUCGUGUGCAGGUGAAUGCUGCGCCCGCCGACGUGCCCCCCGCUGCUCCCAGAGCUGCGGAAGAUGCCUCAGAAGAGGAGGCCGAGGAUGGGCACGCGUCCCCCAGAGCGGCUGCCGCCGCCGCCCCCCUGAACUCUGACGAGGCCGAGGAGGCCGAGGAGGCCGAAGCGGUGGAGCCGGCGGUGGCUGAAGCAGCAGCAGCAGCAGUGGAGCCAGCAGCCACAGCAGCCACAGCAGCCCAGCCUGCAGCUGUGGGGCCAGCUGGGGGUGAUGUCCCUGUAGUGGCUGCCGCUGUGGACGCGCCUGUGGAUGUGGCCUCCGUGGACACUGCCCCCGCGGCCCCCGAGGCUGUUGAUGUCGCGGCCCCCGUGGCCCCCGCAGCCCCCGAGGCUGUUGAUGUCGCGGCUCCCGCUGGCGCUGCUGCUCCUGAUGCUGCCGCUGAGGGCGGCGCAGCUGGAGCGGCAGCGGAUCCUGCUCCAGUCUAGCCGCCGUCCGCUCGUUACUGACCCGGACGGGUCUCUAUGCACCACAAAACAACACGACACGAUGAAAAAGACUGGUAGAGAAUGUUCUGUAAUGCAGCGAUGUGUACACUGUCCAGAAAAGGACUAAUAGGUCUGUCUGUCUGUCUGUGUUGUCUAUUGGCAUCCUAACAUCAUAUAUAUAAAAAAAUAUGUUUCCAAACCCAUUGAUAACAUGAGGAAAUUAUACUGAAGCCAGUUUACCUGUUAUUGCUUUAUAAAACUGUCAGCAUUGUGUCUUUUUCUUUUUGUUAACCAUGAGUAAAGGUUGCCCUCAUUGCCUUUGUCACUGGUGUUCUUUCACAUUGUUUCAGAAUGAUUCAAGUGCAAAAUAAAAGUGCAUUUCACCCCA